UACGGAGGGUGCGAGCGUUGUCCGGAAUCACUGGGCGUAAAGGGAGCGUAGGCGGUCUUAUAAGUCAGUGGUGAAAUCUCGAUGCUUAACAUCGAACGUGCCAUUGAUACUGUAGGACUUGAGUACAGAUGCCGUUGGCGGAAUGUGUCAUGUAGCGGUGAAAUGCAUAGAUAUGACACAGAACACCGAUUGCGAAGGCAGCUGACGAAACUGUAACUGACGCUGAGGCUCGAAAGCGUGGGGAUCAAACAGG
rnacentral:rRNA from 1 species